GUUGUCCGGAUUUACUGGGCGUAAAGAGCGCGCAGGCGGUCGAUCAAGUCGAGUGUGAAAGCCCCCGGCUCAACUGGGGAGGGUCAUUCGAUACUGAUCGACUCGAAGGCAGGAGAGGGUAGUGGAAUUCCCGGUGUAGUGGUGAAAUGCGUAGAUAUCGGGAGGAACACCAGUGGCGAAGGCGACUACCUGGCCUGUUCUUGACGCUGAGGCGCGAAAGCUAGGGGAGCAAACGGG
rnacentral:rRNA from 1 species